rnacentral:rRNA from 1 species
CCUACGGGAGGCUGCAGUGGGGAAUAUUGCACAAUGGGCGCAAGCCUGAUGCAGCCAUGCCGCGUGUGUGAAGAAGGCCUUCGGGUUGUAAAGCACUUUCAGCGGGGAGGAAGGCGGUGAGGUUAAUAACCUCAUCGAUUGACGUUACCCGCAGAAGAAGCACCGGCUAACUCCGUGCCAGCAGCCGCGGUAAUACGGAGGGUGCAAGCGUUAAUCGGAAUUACUGGGCGUAAAGCGCACGCAGGCGGUCUGUCAAGUCGGAUGUGAAAUCCCCGGGCUCAACCUGGGAACUGCAUUCGAAACUGGCAGGCUAGAGUCUUGUAGAGGGGGGUAGAAUUCCAGGUGUAGCAGUGAAAUGCGUAGAGAUCUGGAGGAAUACCGGUGGCGAAGGCGGCCCCCUGGACAAAGACUGACGCUCAGGUGCGAAAGCGUGGGGAGCAAACAGGAUUAGAUACCCUAGUAGUC